AUUGUUAACCCAGUUACACCCGUUAAAUAGGGUGUUAGUCUGGGCCGGGAACUGUCUCCCGGAAUCCACUAGAUCAAAGGUUACAAGAGAGUAUCAGACACCCCACAAGCCCCUUACAAAGCUUCUCUCGGAAUCACUCUCUACCCACUUCCCAAGAACAAAGAUACAAGUUUAUGCUGUGUAUUUUGUUCUAACUUCUUGUCUUACUUUAUCUCUAUGCAAUGUACCUAUUUAUAUGAAAAGACUUGAUAACCUAGUUGCUUCUGUGAUGCCGUUUUGAUCCCAUCACAAGCACGCUCCAUGUACGGAACCAGGCUGUCUACUCUCUCUUAUCUUCUUGUUCAGUACCCGACAAACAGCAGUUUGCUUUUGCUUUUAUGAGCUGCGGCAAACGGCUAGUCUUUGUGGUCCUGCAAAGAGAAACUCACGUGGUCUUGUCCAAGAUACAUUGAUACUUCUUCUUCACGUCUUCUUCUUCUUCUAUCUUCUUCAUGAUCUUCUUUACUAAGUCUCAACAAUUCUCCACCUAGCAAAGACAGAUCAAAGAUAGUCACAGACGUCACAGAACUAUAGAGAUAUUGAUAGUAAUCCGAUCUAGUUAACAGGAUUCCCUUCCCGGCGUCUGAGUUGAUUACUCAGACUUGACCCUCAGUAAGUCCAAUGCUGACUGGAACUUACUGACUGGCAAGAUCUUUGUGAAGAUAUCUGCUGGAUUGUGCAGCGUAGAAAUCUUCAGAACGUUCACAUGACCAUGAGCAAUGACUUGUCUGAUCUUGUGAAACUUGGUGUCUAUAUGUUUGGUUCGUUCAUGAUGAACAUUGUUCUUUGAUAAAGCAAUGGCGCUUUGAGAAUCACAGAACACCUCAACAGCUCUCUGUUCAUAACCAAACUCCUUCAGGAUGCCUUUGAGCCACAACGCUUCCUUAACAGCCUCAUUCAACGCCAUAUACUCAGCUUCAGUGGUAGAUAAAGCCACAACAUCUUGUAGAGAUGAUUUCCAGCUGAUAGUAUUUCCUCCAAGCGUGAACACAACACCACUGAUUGAUCUUCUUCCAUCAAUAUCAGCUGCAUAAUCUGAAUCACAGUAGCCUCUGAGAACAAAUUCUGAACCCUUUUUGUAGCAGAGCUUCGUUUCCAUGGUACCACGAAUGUAUCUCAACACCCACUUGACUCCCAACCAGUGUUCUUUGAUGGGAUUCCCCAUGAACCUGCAGAUUAUCCCAACUGGGUAAGCUAGAUCAGGUCGUGUGCCAAUCAUAGAGUACAUAAUGCUUCCGACUGCAUUGGCAUACGGCACUGACUUCAUGUACUCUCCUUCAUCUCUCAGUUGCUCUGGUGUAGCCGCACGCAACUUCAAGUGUGCACCUAAAGGUGUUGACACUUUGUUCGAGUUUUCCAUUUUAUACAGCUCUAACACCUUUUUGAGAUAGCUUUCCUGACCCAUCCACAGCUUCCCUGCAACACGAUCUCUUCUGAUUUCCAUACCAAGAAUCUUCUUGGCUGGUCCAAGGUCUUUCAUAUCAAAUUUAUCACUCAGCUUCUGUUUCAGUUCUGCAAUAACGCUCUUCUCUUUAGCUGCAACCAACAUGUCAUCUACAUAGAUGAGUAGAUACGCCUUUGAUCCGUUCUCGUGUGCUUUGAUGUAAACACAACUAUCUCUGAGACUCUGUGUAAACCCAAUCUCAGACAUAUAUCCAUCAAACUUCUCGUUCCACAUCCUUGGUGCUUGCUUAAGACCAUAUAGAGCCUUGUUCAAGAGACACACUUGAUUAGGCUUGAACUGAUCUUCACAACCCUCAGGAGCUUCCAUGUAGAUCUUUUUAUCUAACUCUCCGUGUAAGAAGGCUGUCUUGACAUCCAACUGUUCAAGCUCCAAGUUCUCUUCAACAACAAUAGACAGUAGUAUCCUUAUAGAUACAUGUCUCACUACAGGGGAGAAUAUCUCAGUAUAAUCAACUCCUUCUCUCUGAGCAUACCCUUUGGCAACAAGCCUUCCCUUAAACCUUGGUGAUUCAACCCCUGGAAUUCCAGAUUUAUGUUUGAAAAUCCAACGGCAACCAAUAACACGUUGUCCUUUUGGUCUCUCGACAACAGUCCAUGUAUGAUUCUUUUUAUGUGAUUCCAUCUCCUCACCCAUUCCUUCUUUCCAGAACUCCCAAUCAUCACUAAGCCUCGCUUCUUGAUAACUUCCAGGUUCUUUUAUAUCUCCAUCGACAGUGGUAAUGAGUGCUUCUGCGUCAAAGUGAUCAUCUUCAUCAUCAGUAUCCUCACUGAAGUACCCCUCCACAUCAAAUCUUCUUGGAGCCCUUACUUCUCUUCUAGCUCUGUCUCUGACGAGAUGAUAACUCACUGGUGACUCAACAGCUUCUUGAUUCUCGUUUUGGACUUGUUCAUCUGAUUGCUCAAGAUGAUCAUGUCCUUCCUCUGCAGCUUCUGUAUCUUCAUUCUGAGCAUUCCCAUCAGGUGUAGAAUCUCCAAGGGAUCCUAUCUCUUCCGAGAGAUCUCCACCUGAACCUGAAUCUCCAGUUCCUUCUGGAUCAAUGUUGAAAAUUAUCUCUGAAGUCUCAUAUUCACUGUAACACGUUGUCCUUUUGGUCUCUCGACAACAGUCCAUGUAUGAUUCUUUUUAUGUGAUUCCAUCUCCUCACCCAUUCCAUCUUUCCAGAACUCCCAAUCAUCACUGAGCCUCGCUUCUUGAUAACUUCCAGGUUCUUUUAUAUCUCCGUCAACAGUGGUAAUAAGUGCUUCUGCGUCAAAGUGAUCAUCUUCAUCAUCAGUAUCCUCACUGAAGUACCCCUCCACAUCAAAUCUUCUUGGAGCCCUUACUUCUCUUCUAGCUCUGUCUCUGACGAGAUGAUAACUCACUGGUGACUCAACAGCUUCUUGAUUCUCGUUUUGGACUUGUUCAUCUGAUUGCUCAAGAUGAUCAUGUCCUUCCUCUGCAGCUUCUGUAUCUUCAUUCUGAGCAUUACCAUCAGGUGUAGAAUCUCCCAGGGAUCCUAUCUCUUCCGAGAGAUCUCCACCUGAACCUGAAUCUCCAGUUCCUUCUGGAUCAAUGUUGAAAAUUAUCUCUGAAGUCUCAUAUUCACUGCCCUGAAUCUGUUUUCCCCGUUGAAUCACAUCCUUGUACACAGCAUUCUCUUGGAACAUCACAUUUCUACUGAUCAUACACUUCUUCUCUUCUAGCAACCAAACCUUGUAACCUUUAACUCCUGGUGGAUACCCAAGCAUUACUCCCUUCUUGGCUCGUGGAGUAAGCUUUCCAUCGUCUGAAUGUGCAAAACAAACACACCCAAAUCUUCUCAAGUAACUGUAACCCGGAGACUUUCCUGACCAUUUCUUGUCUGGAAUCUCAAAGUUAAUUGCAGAAGAUGGUGUUUUGUUUAUCAAUGUUACAGCUGUUUGAGUUGCUUCAGCCCAAAACGUCUGAGGUAGACCAGAGUCACUCAACAUACUUCUUACCUUCUCCAUGAUAGUACGGUUCAUCCUCUCAGCAAUGCCAUUUUGCUGAGGGGUGUAUGCACACGUUCUAUGCCUCACGAUCCCUUUUUCUUUACAGAAAUCAUUGAACCUCGUGUUGCAGAACUCAAGCCCGUUGUCAGUUCUCAAUAUCUUCACCUUUCUCUCUGUCUGGUUCUCAAUCAUGAUACUCCAUUCCACAAACUUACCAUAAGCUUCAUCUUUGUGCUUCAAGAAGUACACCCACGUCUUCCUAGUGUAGUCAUCAAUAAACGAGAUGAAGUAUUGGCAUUUUCCUAGAGACAAUGGCACACUUGGAGCACCCCAUAAGUCUGAAUGAAUGUAGUCUAACCGAUCUUUAGUGUCAUGUGUAGCUACUGAGAAACUGACUCUCUUUGCCUUACCAUACACACAGUCUUCACACAUCUCCAUUACAGAGACCUUCUUUCUGUCUAGAAGACCUUUUCUAACCAGCAGAUCAAGGUUCUUCUGACUCAUGUGACCCAGCCUUCUGUGCCAUAAGACAGUAUCAUCGCUCUUUCUCUCUGUUGCAUACAUCUGACCAACCUCUGGCUUUCCCUGCAGUAUGUAGAGUUUCUCACACCUCUUUCCACUCAUAAGAGUCUUGGUUCCAUCUUUGACACUGAGAAUCCCGUUCUUUGAUUCAAAACUGCAUCCAAGUUCUUCUAGUGUUCCCAUAGAUAGAAGAUUUCUAUCCAUCUCAGGGAUAUACCUUACACAUGUUAGUAGAAAGGUUGAGCCAUCUUCAUUUUUGAUUCUGACAUUACCAACUCCUUUCACCUUAGACGUAGUCUUGUUUCCCAUACGUACUGAUCCUCCAACAUCUUCUCUUAGAGUCUCGAACCAUUCUUUCUUAUGAGUCAUAUGAUAGCUGCAUCCAGUAUCCAUUACCCACUCGUGUUCAAGAUUUAUGUCUGUUAACAACAGUGCUUCUGACACAUAUAAGCCUGCAGCAUCAUUCUUGUUAUCUUUGACCAUGGCAGCUUCUCCUCUGCUGCUACUUCCUUGUUGCUUGGACUUGGUCUGAAACUUGUUCUUGUUUGAACAAGUAUUCCUGAAGUGUCCUUCUUCUCCGCAAGUCCAGCACACCUUCUUGUUCUUAGACUUUGAUCUUGACUUUGACUGUCUAGAAGAUCUGUCUUUCCCCUCUGACCUUCCUCGUUGAUCACCUCUGUCCCUGACAUACAGACUUUCUGCUUGCCCUUUAGACCCACGUGAGUUUGAACCUGUCUCAAGUUCCUUAGCGUAAAUGGCUGCAACAACUUCAUCAAGCGUCAGUGUUGUUCUUCCUGAGCCAUAUCUUAGCGUGUCACGUAGUUGAUCAAACUGUUUAGGUAGAGACAUAAGCAACAAGAUAGCUUGGUCUUCAUCAGAAACCAUAACACCAAUGUUCUCUAGAUCCGUUAUGAGAUGUAGGUACUCAUCAAUGUUGUGUUCAAUAGACAAGCUUUCAGACAUCUUGUACCCAUAGAGCUUCUGCUUCAGGUAGAACCGGUUUGGAAGCGCUUUAGCAAGAUAAAGCUGGUCCAGUGCUCUAAUCAUCCCAGCUGCUGUUUCUUCCUUCCUUAUCUUCCUCAGAACUCUAUCAGUAACGCUCAAGAUGAUAGUGCUUCUAGCUUUCUUCACUUUCUCAGCUAAAGCUUCCGCCUUUUCUAAAGCUUCUUUCUUUUCUUCACUUGUUUCACCCAGAUCUGUGACUUUCUCUGUUGGUUUACCAGAUUCUUCCAACGCUUUGCUCAAACCCUGAAGAUCAAUCUGAGCCAACAGUUUGUCUUUCCACAGUGUGUAGUCCCCAUGACCAUCAAACUUCUCAAGCUCUAUUCUUGACGACGACGACGACAUGGUUCCGUUCUGACCGUUAGAUCUUCAGGAACCUCCACAAGUUACUCCAACCUGUGCUCUGAUACCAAUAUGUGAAGCAACAACCCACUCAAAGACGUCUCCUUUUGUGAUAGUAUGCUCACACACUCAAGAACUCACUGAACACGCUGAUGAACACUCAACACUUAGAAGGGAAAGCAAAGAACAGAACACUUUAGAGCAAGAACAAGACAAGAGAUUGUUAACCCAGUUACACCCGUUAAAUAGGGUGUUAGUCUGGGCCGGGAACUGUCUCCCGGAAUCCACUAGAUCAAAGGUUACAAGAGAGUAUCAGACACCCCACAAGCCCCUUACAAAGCUUCUCUCGGAAUCACUCUCUACCCACUUCCCAAGAACAAAGAUACAAGUUUAUGCUGUGUAUUUUGUUCUAACUUCUUGUCUUACUUUAUCUCUAUGCAAUGUACCUAUUUAUAUGAAAAGACUUGAU
rnacentral:lncRNA from 1 species